UAAGCGGAGGAAAAGAAACUAACAAGGAUUCCCCCAGUAACUGCGAGUGAACAGGGAUUAGCCCAGCACCGAAGCCUGUGGCCAGUUGGUCACUAGGCAAUGUGGUGUUCAGGUUGUUCCGCAAAGGUGCUGCUCCACCCUAAGUCCAUCAAUGAGUACGGUAGUACGGACAUGGCCCGUAGAGGGUGAAAGGCCCGUGGGGGUGGAGACCAGGCAGGCCAGUACCUUUCUGGAUAGACCUUGGAGUCGGGUUGUUUGUGAAUGCAGCCCAAAGCGGGUGGUAAACUCCAUCCAAGGCUAAAUACAAGCACGAGUCCGAUAGCGAACAAGUACCGUGAGGGAAAGUUGAAAAGUACUUUGAAGAGAGAGUAAACAGUGCGUGAAACCGGUCAGAGGUAAGCGGGUGGAGUUGAACUGCAAGCUCUGAGAAUUCAGCUGGUGAGUGUGGUUAGAGCUUGGCUAGUCUGUUGGGCCCUGAAGUCUGUGUAGCAGCAGGCCUUUGCCUCUCGGGGUGAAGGUGCGCGAUACACUUACCAAGUGUUGUGCGCUUUGGGUGUUCAUCGAGCCGACUCGCCAGUGCACUUUUUCAGAGUGGUCAUCACGACCGGCACCGCUGUCUGGCUGUUGUGGUUAAACCGAUCUCGCAUUGUCCUUGUGGCUCUGCUUGGUCGGGAUGGCAGGUAGCUCGAUGAUUUGCUUGUGGCUCGCUGCAGGCUUUGGUCUUCGAGUGUAAUCAGCUGACCGCAUCGGUUCUGUGCAGUGUGUCGGAGACGGCGGCUUUUGUGUGUGCGUGCGUGCCUGUCUGGUCGGCGUGUCCGAGUCUGGUCGUUUGUGCCUGUUCACGCAGGCCUGAUGAUGGCUCGGAUCCGUUCGGCUAGCGGUUGCGUGCGUGGCACAUUUUAUGGGCCAAUAGUCUGUGAUGUAGUGGUAGACUAUCCACCUGACCCGUCUUGAAACACGGACCAAGGAGAGUAACAUG
rnacentral:rRNA from 1 species